rnacentral:lncRNA from 1 species
CCUGUUCCCAAAUCGCUGCCCCCUAUUCCCAAAUCCCUAACCCGCGGUUCGCGACGGCGGCGGCUCGCAGCGACGUGUGCACUAGGUGGCCGGCGGCGGGAUCUGUUCGAGAUGGGCGGCGCUGGCUUAGAGAAGCGCGAGGCAGAGGAAUGGAACGGGGAAGAAUGGAAGCCCACGGCGGUGUAUCACUGGGGAUCGAAGAACCACUAUGAGGUAACAGAUCUGUCUAGUUCAUGUACGAUUUGUUACCCUACUUUUUCUCAGAAAUAAUUGAUUUUUAGGAGGAGGAGUUGCCGGAAUGUUCACUGGAUCCGACUCAUGUUGUUGCAAACCGAGGCAGCAACAAAGGCAGUAGGUUGUUGGGAUGGAAGAAUGAGGUAAAAUAGGAGUAAACACAACUAAAACUGAAUCUGGCAGUGCAUAAGUGUAUUGAUGUGUGCAUGACUUGUGCAGGAUUUGAGGAGUGUUAUUUUUGAGCUGGAUAGGAAGAACAAGGUGCUGCAGAAAAAAGGUUGAAGAAAAAGAUGCAGAAAAGCAGGCUGAGAUGGAGAAGCAUAAGAUGGAAAAGAAGAUGAUUGCAAGGAUCAACAAGGAGAAAUUGAUCUGUAGAGAUAGGAUGCUAGUGUUUGCAAUAGCCAUAUGUGUAGGCUUGUGCGCCAUUGUCUUUGCAUUAGCUGUGAAGUAGAGGUUGGAUGAUGUUGAAUGUAAUCUGAAUUAUGUGUUGUCACUCUAUUUUUCAGUAAAGUGAUGAUUUCAGUUGCAUUGGCAGUGUGUGGAUUUGAUGGGAAAUUCAGU